rnacentral:rRNA from 1 species
CCUACGGGUGGCAGCAGUGAGGAAUAUUGGUCAAUGGACGAGAGUCUGAACCAGCCAAGUAGCGUGAAGGAUGACUGCCCUAUGGGUUGUAAACUUCUUUUAUAUGGGAAUAAAAUGUUCCACGUUUGGGAUUUUGUAUGUACCAUAUGACUAAGGAUCGGCUAACUCCGUGCCAGCAGCCGCGGUAAUACGGAGGAUCCGAGCGUUAUCCGGAUUUAUUGGGUUUAAAGGGAGCGUAGGUGGAUUGUUAAGUCAGUUGUGAAAGUUUGCGGCUCAACCGUAAAAUUGCAGUUGAAACUGGCAGUCUUGAGUACAGUAGAGGUGGGCGGAAUUCGUGGUGUAGCGGUGAAAUGCUUAGAUAUCACGAAGAACUCCGAUUGCGAAGGCAGUUCACUGGACUGCAACUGACACUGAGGCUCGAAAGUGUGGGUAUCAAACAGGAUUAGAUACCCCAGUAGUC